GUUCUCUGUUUCCUUUUUUCUUUUCCAUCCCAGAGCCGUGGGCUCUCUCUCUCUCUCUCUCUCUCUCUCUCUCUCUCUCUCUCUCUAAAUCAAACACACCCACACACAACCAAAUCAUCUUGCACCUUCUUUUGCUUGGGCAUUUUGUAUCUACAUCAAGAUCUUGGAGGAAUCUAGGGAUUUCAAGUUUGUGGGCUUUCCUCCAUCACCAUCUCACUCAUCUCUCUUGUGUGCUACCAAUUGAGGUUCGAAAGGCAAGGAUGCGCUUUGAUGGACAAGGUGAUGGAGAUAUCUUUUGUGCUUUGGCGAGUCGAUCUGCAUGAUAUUUUGUUGGGUCUUAAAAGCUAUCUUUUGACUAUAUGUAUAUGUUUUUGACUUUGAGAAUGUAAUGAUAAAUGUUAAACUCUCCUCUAGAAAUGCUUUGUUAUGUCUUUUAGGCAAGGAAGAAGGAAAACUUGUACCUCCUUUUGUAAUUGGAGUUGUAUGGUUUAAGUGGUGUUUUGGGUGCCAUAGUGGCUAAUCAAAAAAAAUUGAAAUGUUUGGAA